GCCAUAUUUUGUGAACUGGAAGCCUCCUCCACAAGGUCUUGAACACUGGGACCACUUCUUCAGAGCCCAUUCAUACGAUACUGAGUCCUCUUCCAAAACAUUAUUGUUAUCUACAUUCAAGGAAUCUUCAUGGAUCAUGUACUUGUAAGUCAGAGAUAUCUUGGCACCACCAUGAGGAAUCACCAGAAUAACUAUUCCAUUACGCAGAGGCCCCAUGGUCUGCACAGUUUCUCUAUUAUCGUCAUUCCGAUAUUCCCACUCCACACCCAUGUCAAUAAAUACUUUAGAGUCUGGCACGUAGUUGUCUUCACUUAGAAUGAAUCUUCCUGUUUCACGAUUUUUAAUUGCGAGAUGAUGACUGGUGGCGUCUGAUUCCUGUAUAAGUAAAUGCCUUGCCCCAACAGGAAUUUCAAACAUCUUAAUGUGUCCUUGUUUCUUUGGUACUCUUGAAAACGUUCCUUUCACCACUUUGCAGUGGGAAUUAUCUCCUCCGCAAACACCGCACUUAUCUUCCUGCUUCGUGGAUCCUAUGACCCUGUCACACCCAACU
rnacentral:lncRNA from 1 species